CCUACGGGUGGCAGCAGUGGGGGAUAUUGCACAAUGGGCGAAACCCUGAUGCAGCGACGCCGCGUGUGGGAUGACGGUCCUCUGGAUUGUAAACCACUUUCCUCAGGGACGAAGAUGACGGUACCUGGGGAGGAAGCUCCGGCUAACUACGUGCCAGCAGCCGCGUUAAUACGGGGGGAGCGAGGGUUGUCCGGAGUUACUGGGUGUAAAGGGAGCGUAGGGGGGGAUGCAAGCUGGGUGUAAAACCUACCGGUUAACCUGAUAAUUGCAUUCGAAACUGCAGCUCUUGAGUGCAGUAGAGGCAGGCGGAAUUCCUAGUGUAGCGGUGAAAUGCGUAGAUAUUAGGAGGAACACCAGUGGCGAAGGCGGCCUGCUGGGCUUUUACUGACGCUGAGGCUCGAAAGUGUGGGGAGCAAACAGGAUUAGAUACCCGAGUAGUC
rnacentral:rRNA from 1 species